rnacentral:rRNA from 1 species
UGUCCUACGGGAGGCAGCAGUAGGGAAUCUUCCACAAUGGGCGAAAGCCUGAUGGAGCAACGCCGCGUGAGUGAAGAAGGGUUUCGGCUCGUAAAGCUCUGUUGGUAGUGAAGAAGGAUAGAGGUAGUAACUGGCCUUUAUUUGACGGUAAUUACUUAGAAAGUCACGGCUAACUACGUGCCAGCAGCCGCGGUAAUACGUAGGGGGCAAGCGUUGUCCGGAAUUACUGGGUGUAAAGGGAGCGUAGACGGUUAAGUAAGUCUGGAGUGAAAGGCCGGGGCC